rnacentral:rRNA from 1 species
GGGGAAUAUUGCGCAAUGGAGGGAACCCUGACGCAGCGACGCCGCGUGAAGGAAGAAGGUCUUCGGAUUGUAAACUUCUUUGAUCGGGGACGAAAUCUGACGGUACCCGAUAAAAAAGCCACGGCUAACUACGUGCCAGCAGCCGCGGUAAUACGUAGGUGGCAAGCGUUGUCCGGAAUUACUGGGUGUAAAGGGCGUGUAGGCGGGGAUGCAAGUCAGAUGUGAAACCCCACGGCUCAACUGUGGGCUUGCAUCUGAAACUGUAUUUCUUGAGUGUUGGAGAGGGAAGUGGAAUUCCUAGUGUAGCGGUGAAAUGCGUAGAGAUUAGGAGGAACACCAGUGGCGAAGGCGACUUCCCGGCCAACAACUGACGCUGAGGCGCGAAAGCGUGGGGAGCAAAC